rnacentral:rRNA from 1 species
UACGGUAGGGUGCAAGCGUUAAUCGGAAUUACUGGGCGUAAAGCGUGCGCAGGCGGUUAUAUAAGACAGUUGUGAAAUCCCCGGGCUCAACCUGGGAACUGCAUCUGUGACUGUAUAGCUAGAGUACGGUAGAGGGGGAUGGAAUUCCGCGUGUAGCAGUGAAAUGCGUAGAUAUGCGGAGGAACACCGAUGGCGAAGGCAAUCCCCUGGACCUGUACUGACGCUCAUGCACGAAAGCGUGGGGAGCAAACAGG